UACGAAGGGGGCUAGCGUUGCUCGGAAUUACUGGGCGUAAAGCGCACGUAGGCGGAUUGUUAAGUCGGGGGUGAAAUCCUGGAGCUCAACUCCAGAACUGCCUUCGAUACUGGCGAUCUCGAGUCCGGGAGAGGUGAGUGGAACUGCGAGUGUAGAGGUGAAAUUCGUAGAUAUUCGCAAGAACACCAGUGGCGAAGGCGGCUCACUGGCCCGGUACUGACGCUGAGGUGCGAAAGCGUGGGAGCAACAGGG
rnacentral:rRNA from 1 species